GAUGAACGCUGGCGGCGUGCCUAAUACAUGCAAGUCGAACGAGGGCACUCACGUAGCAAUACGAGAGUGUUCCUAGUGGCGAACGGGUGAGUAACACGUUGGUGACCUGCCCCGAAGUGAGGGAUAACACCGCGAAAGUGGUGCUAAUACCCCAUGUGACCCGAGGGACUAGAUGCCCUUGGUGGAAAGGCGCAAGCCGCUUCGGGAGGGGCCUGCGGCCCAUCAGCUAGUUGGCAGGGUAAUGGCCUACCAAGGCGACGACGGGUAGGGGUCCUGAGAGGGUGGCCCCCCACACUGGCACUGAAACACGGGCCAGACACCUACGGGUGGCAGCAGUAGGGAAUAUUGGACAAUGGGCGAAAGCCUGAUCCAGCAACGCCGCGUGCGCGAUGAAGGCCUUCGGGUUGUAAAGCGCUUUUCGGGGGGAUGAGGAAGGACAGUACCCCCGGAAUAAGUCUCGGCUAACUACGUGCCAGCAGCCGCGGUAA
rnacentral:rRNA from 1 species